rnacentral:lncRNA from 1 species
UUUUUUUUUCAAAAACUUAAGCAACUUAUACUAAUGCCGGCGAUCUCGAAGGAAGAUAUCUGGACCUGGAGCAAUUCGUCUUGAUAUUCAUUAUAUUAGGAUGCAACGAAAAGGAAAAAAGAUGAUAAGCAAGAAGAGGAAAGAAGAAUGUUAAAGAAGUCCCUAUAAGUGCUUCACUUAGCAUUUCUAUAGUUUUUCUUCCCCUCUUCCGUCAAAGCGCGCUCUUUAAUCCAUGCACAUGCGUCUUUAUUGCAUUCCCCCUUCCCUCACUUGCAGCAGCUUAUUAAAAAUUUGAAAAAUCAAUUCAAUUGAUUUGGUUUAGUUUAGGAGAAAACUGACUCAAACCUAACCAUGAAUGCUCGUACACAGAAAAAUUGAUACUAUAUGUCAUGUACUGCCCUUAAGCUUAGUGCUUUAUGCACUAGUUAAAGGUUGUCUUAAAUAUAUUUUUGAGUAAUCUGUUUGGCCUCUUGGUACCAUGUAAUUGCUCUAGUUCCUAUCUCUGAAGCAAUAUUGCGUUAUUAUUAUGCAAUUAUUGAAAAGGUAUUGCUUGCGCAGUUGCGUCGUAUGGGGAUCAAGGGAUCAAGAAAAAUGAAAAAAAGACGAGUAAAGGGCGGUAGUGACUGUAAUUGUGAAAAGAUUGGAAGAUCGGGCUAAAGAAGACGAUAGCCCUAUAGAUUCGUUCCUAUGGUUCAAUCCUUCCCAGUAAAAUGCGACGUGUUCGAAUUCUGAUCGCUUUUACGCGAGAAAAGGGGAUCACCCCCUAGGCCUAAGUAUUCCUCAAUGACCGAUAGCGUAGAAGUACUGUGAGGGAAAUGUGAAAAGAAUCCUAUUUAGGUAGUGCAAUAGAGAACCUGAGAUCCAAUGUGAACAAUCAGUCGAAGGAGCGGAGCUUAGAGGCUUUACUUUAUGUAAAGCUCACUCACUCUAAUGACGUACCUUUUGCAUGAUAGGUCAGCAAGAAAAUGGGAACAACGGCUUAAGCCAUUAGGUGUAGGCGCUUUACAAGGUGGAAUCUUCUAGUUCUUCCUAUUUGACCCGAAACAGAUCGAUCUAGCCAUGAGUAGGUUGAAGAGAGUGUCACACCUCCUUUUUACUACCCUCGGAAGGGUAUAAGAGAGUUUUUUUCAAUUUAAGUGACAAUCGAAACCGGAUUUAUUUAUUUAUUUAGAGUCGUCAUUUGGAAUAAUUUAUGGUGUCCCAAGUCACCGGUUUAGAAUCCCGAAUCGAGGAAAAUUAGAUUCUAAUUAUGGUCCGCGAACACAAAAUUCCGGGUAAGGAAUUCUGUUAACCCAGGAGAAGGUGUUAGGCAUUCCCGGAUUCCAUGGUUUUAGCACGGUCGCUCAACUAUUAUUAUUGGCCUAAUUAUCUAAUUUUUUACACGUUUUAAACCUAUUGUGAAUUUUUAACUCUUUAGCCGCUUUUAAUAUUUCGAAAAAAUUCAAGGUUAUUUAAAACACAUCGUAAGCCACGCUACAUGAAAUGCACCCGUCGUUCACGACACGUUUUAUUUAACCUUGUUGAAAAUUGGAGUCGGGUCACAUGAAAUGCACACCCGAACCCCUUUAAUCUAAUUUGACGUAGUUUAAUUGAUGAAUAACAACCCAAUUUCUAUACUGUGACAAAAUCAUGUUCAGCUAUAACCAAUUCGGGUAAACAUGAGAAGAUAACCGAGUAGGCAAAUUCAAAACCACGGAGAAUAAUUACAAAAAAAUGACGGGAUCACAUCACCAAACAAAUAAUUGACAUUAAGCGUGAAUAAAACAAAUCGAGGAUGAAAUAGUUGAACCUCAAUAUAGCCCAAAAAGUUGAUUGUUUCACUGUUUUGAACUCAAAAUGUGACGAAUCGCAGACGGGAACCCAAAUCGGCACCGAAAAUCUAAAACCAACGACAAACUCGAAUCAACCUCGACUUAACUCUGUUCCCAUACUCAAAAAACCAAAAAUCAGAACCAAAUGAAGAAAUAGAAACAUCUUCGUCGACAGAUUCAAACUUAAGACGGAACUCUGGAUCAAAUAUUUCAAAUCAACUCUAUCCUCGAAAUCAAACUUAACAGAAUGAACCAAAUUAUUUUUUUGUAUUUUCUGAUUGUAUAUAGAACUGGUAUUUUAUAUUCAAGCUAGGACAUUAAAUUAGAGAAGUAACAUUCAGAAUCGAAGAACAAAGAAAAACAAAAACGCGCUGAAACAGUGACCCCGAAUCUCGACGGCGACAAACUCGAACCAACUCUCAGUACCUCAAGUGCAAAUCCACUUCGAACACAAUCCAUAAGAAGAAACAAAUAAGAAAAGGGGGGCAACUGCAGCAAAGCUUCCUCUUCUUCACUUCAUUUUCACCAUUAUUGUUACUAUUUUCGUUGAAUCCUCGCUUGGCUUCCAGGUUUUUGGGUUGCUGCUCUUGAAAGUGUGCGACUGUUAGAAUCCUAGGUUUAGGUUCUCUCAUUGCUGCCUCUUCUUGGUGUACUUAGGGUUCAGUCUUUUUUUUUGUUGUAUUUUCGCUGGUUUUUCAAUUGGAGAAGAAGAGCAGAACGAUGAGGUCGUUCUCUGGUCUUCAAUGGCAUUGCUUCUUAGCUCUAGGGGUCUAGGCGUGUUUGUUGUUCCAGUUUUGGCUGAGGUCUUAAGGUCUGUGACUUAUUGUUGAGAUUGUCAGCAUCUUGGUCUUUUUAGGUUAUAAUUUGGUUUUUAUUUGAU